rnacentral:rRNA from 1 species
CAGAGGGUGCGAGCGUUAAUCGGAAUACUGGGCGUAAGCGCGCGUAGGCGGUUUUGUAAGUCGGAUGUGAAAUCCCCGGGCUUAACCUGGGAACUGCAUUCGAGACUGCAUGACUGGAGUAUUGGAGAGGGCAGUGGAAUUUCCGGUGUAGCGGUGAAAUGCGUAGAUAUCGGAAGGAACAUCAGUGGCGAAAGCGACUGCCUGGCCAAAUACUGACGCUCAUGUGCGAAAGCGUGGGGAGCAAGCAGGAUUAGAUACCCUGGUAGUCCACGCCAUAAACGAUGACAACUAGACGUCGGAAGGAUCUGCCUUUCGGUGUCGCAGCUAACGCGUUAAGUUGUCCGCCUGGGGGAGUACGGCCGCAAGGUUG